UACGUAUGGCGCAAGCGUUGUCCGGAAUUAUUGGGCUUAAAGAGCUCGUAGGCGGUUUGUCGCGUCUGCUGUGAAAACCUAAGGCUCAACCUUGGGCUUGCAGUGGGUACGGGCAGACUAGAGUGCGGUAGGGGUGACUGGAAUUCCUGGUGUAGCGGUGGAAUGCGCAGAUAUCAGGAGGAACACCGAUGGCGAAGGCAGGUCACUGGGCCGCAACUGACGCUGAGGAGCGAAAGCGUGGGGAGCGAACAGG
rnacentral:rRNA from 1 species